rnacentral:rRNA from 1 species
AUUGAACGCUGGCGGCAUGCCUUACACAUGCAAGUCGAACGGUAACAGGUCUUUUGCUCCUGGCUUGAGCGGCACGGGGGUGUGAUACGUCUGGACGUCUCCCUUCUAGUGGGGGAACACGUCGGAAGCUUUGCUCAUACCCCACACGAUCUACGGGUGAGAGCGUGGGGGCUCCUCGGAUCUCGCGCUCUCAGCUGCCCAUGGCUGAUUAGGUAGUUGGUGGGGUAAAAGCUUACCAAGCCGACGAUCUGUAGCUGGUCUGAGAGGAUGAUCAGCCACACUGGAACUGAGACACGGUCCAGACUCCUACGGGAGGCAGCAGUGGGGAAUAUUGGACAAUGGGCGAAAGCCUGAUCCAGCCAUGCCGCGUGUAGGAUGAAGGUCUUCGGGUUGUAAACUGCUUUUGUACGGAAGGAAAAGCAUUUUGCUAAUAAAGAGAGGUCAUGACGGUACCGUAAGAAUAAGCACCGGCUAACUACGUG